rnacentral:rRNA from 1 species
AACGAACGCUGGCGGCAUGCCUAACACAUGCAAGUCGAACGAGACCUUCGGGUCUAGUGGCGCACGGGUGCGUAACGCGUGGGAACCUGCCCUUAGGUUCGGAAUAACUCCCCGAAAGGGGUGCUAAUACCGGAUAAUGUCUUCGGACCAAAGAUUUAUCGUCUUUGGAUGGGCCCGCGUUGGAUUAGCUAGUUGGUAGGGUAAAAGACUACCAAGGCGACGAUCCAUAGCUGGUUUGAGAGGAUGAUCAGCCACACUGGGACUGAGACACGGCCCAGACUCCUACGGGAUGCAGCAGUGGGGAAUGUUGGACAGUGGGCGAAAGCCUGAUCCAGCAAUGCCGCGUGAAUGAUGAAGGCAUUAGGGUUGUAAAGCUCUUUUACCCGGGAUGAUAAUGACAGUACCGAGAGAAUAAGCGCCGGCUAACUCCGUG